CCCUUCCCUCUCACUUUACCAUUUUAGCCCUUACUCUCACUCUCUCACCUUAAAGAUUUCUCCAUCUCACUCAUUUCAAACAUCUGGUCCAAAAAAGCUUCUUCUCUCUGUUUUCAAAAAGUCUUUGAAAUUUCACUCUCUGUUUUCUGGCUUCCAAAGUCUUGAAAAUUUCACUAGACCCACAUGAAGGUUUCUCUUGUAUGGUGUUGAUAGCUCCUGAACUCGAAGAUCAACAUGUUCACUACUUACAAUUCUACCCUUAUCAUCCUUCUCUUCCUCGUUUUCAUCAUCACUCCACAAGUCUCAUCCUUUCUUCAACCUGUCCAGCCUCCUAAUUCCCCUCAAGUAGCUUUGGUCGAAGAUAAAGCGAGAUUAGGCUCUACACCACCGAGCUGCCACAACAGCUGCAACGGCUGCCAUCCCUGUAUGCCUACUCAAGUUCCCACUCUCCCUAGUCGCUCCCGUUUCACCCGAGUUGACCCGUUCUCCGGCGGAUUCGUACGGCCUCCUUCCUCUCUAACCAGCGUCCUUGAUCAGUACUCUAACUACAAGCCCAUGGGCUGGAAAUGUCACUGCAAUGGUCACUUUUACAACCCUUGAAAAACCAUCACCAUCGUCCUCUGCUUUGAACUAGAUUUGAUUCGAAUGGAACAACACACUGUCAAAGUUGAUAAAUCAAUUUUGUCUCACCUGCCUCGAUGUCCUACACAAUCACUGUUUGAGACUUCUCGUGAAUCUUCAGUAGACCCAUAUCUGAAAUCCACGGCGAUAGAAGAGAGACACUCAAAGAGUUGUUGGGGUUUGGAGAGCAUCACCAUGUGAUCUCCACCGUCGAUCUCGUACACUUUUGAGACGUUGAAAUUAUCAA